rnacentral:lncRNA from 1 species
AUCUUUGUCUGGGAGGGGGAUACGACUCCACAAAAUCCAUUUUCUAUUUCUAUUCCAGUUGAUAUAUUCCAGUGGAACCUGAUACAAUUGCUCUAAUGUUAAGGUAAAUGUAGCAAUAAGCUUGAAAAGAAGAGAAAACUUUAAUUUUUUCUCCCUUUUUGUCACUGCUUGGGAGCACCUCAAGUCAGGAUGACCUUAGAUGGUUAUAUAUUUGCAUAAUGGCUUUAUGUUUUGCUGAGCUAAGAAAAACACACAAUAUACAUCCUUUGUUAAAUAAUCCUGCCCUGAAUCCUGGGUCUUGGUAUUAUAGCCUCUGUAAAUAAGGUAAGUCUAAGAAACAUGAAAAAAUCCAUUUCCAUUAUCUGGAAUGGAGUAUUAAUUAGUCAAAUUAUUUUUCAGAGCCUGCAUAGUUGUCCAAGGAGUCUGACAGUGGUCUGUUGGGAGUAUUCAAAACAAUAAAAUUUCUGGAAUAAAAUGGCAGAAGGUGUCAGGAGGGAAGUAGUUGAUGAUAGUAUAUUUUUGUGUUGAUUUAAAAGGAAGAUUUAUGAUAGGAAACUGGCAAACUGAGUAAUGUUUGGAAUUUAUAAACUGUACAAAAGCUUCCCUCUCUGAGCAAGAUCUAUUUCUGGAUUUUAUUUGAUUUUGAUGACAUGGGGGACUCAUGUGGCCAAUAAAAUUUCCCAAGAUCCUGAUAGUUUAUGUUUUAUAUUACAGCGGGUCUUUUAGUGCCUCAGCUGUGGGAGGAACAGGUUCUGGUUCUUGUACCAUAAACUCACACUUUCUAAAUGCCCUUUCCUCUUUGAAUUUCAGAACACGUGACUUGGAACUGAGCUUACGUUUCAGAUACUUAGUAUUCAUCUUUUGAAGGCAAACUUAAACCAGACAUAAAAUAUUUAAUAUUCAUUUGCAACACCUUACACUGUUCUCAUUCAGGGUGAACAUAAUCAGAAUGUAGUCUUUUCUGAAGUAAUCUUUUUUUUUUUUUCCAAAUGUUUGUUCUUUGAAUGGGGCUGUUAACAAAUAUUGAAGCCGUGGACAAUACAUUAACUGCCAAGGAAUGGAAGGAGUGACUCAAAAUAAGAUUCGCUUUAACAUGUGAAAGCUGCUUAUGGACUUUAAAUUCCAUAGAAUUAAAAAAAGUCCCUUUUAGUCUUAACAGUUUUAGUAUCAACUUAGAAAAGCUGUUCAGUUUUCAAUAGUUCAGAGUAAUUUAUUACUAAUUGUGGUUAGAGUAUUGCUUCCUUUUUUUUUUUUUUUUUUUUAUAAGUAGGCACCAUGUCCAGCUUGGGGCUUAAAGUUAAGACCUUAAGAUCAAGAUCUAUGGUGAGAUCAAGAGUCAGAGGCUGAACCAACUGAACCAGCCAGACCCCUAAGGUUGGGGCAUCUUUAAUCAAAGUACUUUGCAGGAUAUUUCUAAAAGCCGAUUUUUUUGUAAUGAUCACUUUGUCCAUUACCUCAAAAUAUUUUCAGCAUUUUGAAUGGCUUAAUAUACAAGAACUUACUUUUCCUGGUUUAGUCUAAUGUCUCCUCUCCUCCUUCCUCUUUCCCCUCACAUCCAGUUCAUCAGCAAGAACCUUCUGCUCCUCAACUACGACUCACGUCAUAUACUCUCUUUGUCUUCACUGUUGUCUCCCAAGUUUAAAUGACCGCAUCCUCCCUUCCUUGCGCUUCUGCAGUAGCAACCUAACAGAAACCCUUGCUUCCACUUUUGUUCCUUCACCCACCAUCUGCCAAGCAGCAUCAGCAUAUAACUUCCUAAAAACAGAAAAACCCAUCACUUUAGGCUUCUGAAGAAAACCAUACCUCUGAAAAGAGGAAUUCUGUGUCAGGAAGUCUCACCAAGGUGUUCUAGAAAACAGGAAUGGCCACCACCAUUUUAUGCUCAAUCCUGUAUAUCUAGCAGGCCUGUAUUGCUACUCAUUUUUUUUCACUUAGUUCCUCUGCACAGAAGAGAACUGCGAUGUUUACCCGUCACGAGUCUGAGCAGGAGCUGCCAAAACAACAACAAAAACCCCAAACUGAUCAAUUCCCAUUGCGCGACUGCAGAGGGUGCUGUCAACAGCAGUGUCUUUACCAUCCCAGGCUGAGUUAAUGGACUGAGUUAAUUAACAACAGUCAUCUUUUUGUUUUGUUUUGUUUUUUUGUUUUUGGUUUACUUGUUAAAUUAGUCAACUCAGAAAAGGUUAAGACGGCUAAGUGAGUGAACCAGGUCCUGGGCUACACAGCUCAAGAAAGGCAUUUCCUGAUCUUGGUAUGUCCACGUGCUGGCCCCGUGUCUCUGUAGCCCCCCAGACAUGUCUCGAGACAACUCAUUUCCCUCCGUCAGCUAGGUUGUACAGUCUCAGUGAAGGGCCUGCACAUCGGUAAUACUGGGUAAUCGGUAGAAAAUACUGAAAAGUCAGGAUAAUUUUCCUGGUUGGAGUGAGAGGUAGACAGCUGUGCGUUAUAGACAAGACAUAGGAUCCAGAGUCAAGAGCUUUUUUUAUUGAUCAUAGGAAAUUAAUACUCAGUUUCUUUAGUGAUAAAAUGCGCAUAAUCAUGCCUCUUUAGAGGGCUGGUCCAAAGAUUACUGAAUGAGAUAAAUGCCUGCAGAGAUAUCUUGGCUGUUUCCUGACCAGAAAAUGCUUAAGAAAUAAUUGGUUGUACGUGACCGGCUGUAGCAAAUUUGGAGGGCUGUGGGUGAAAGCUAGUAGGUUGUGACUUUUGCUCUUCUAAACACUUCGUAGCAUUCUUACCUGAAUCAGCAAAGGGAAUUCCAAACUGAAGUUUCUCAAAAGCUUCUUUUUUUAAAUUUUCUUAGAGAGACGGCAAUAACCAGAAGGGAGAAAAGAAGUGCAAGUGGUUGUGGUAAGGACCCUUGGUUGUGUUUGUGGAAGGGUGGAGAGGUUAUAAGCAGAGUCUGUCAGGAAGUAAGCACCCCCCCCUUUUUUUUGAUCCUUGAGGAUCCAUUUAUUGUUUUUGAAAGGAAAACCAUGUCAGGAGACAUCUCUAGGCUUAUUACUCACUUCCCUUGGGGCCUAGCUUAAUUUCUGUGGUUUUUUUUUUUCCUGUAUAGGUUGAAAUAUUUCCUUGCUUUAAAUCUCUUUCAGGAAGGAUGACAUAUUAACCAAUCAAUUGAUCAUUUUAUUAAUUAAUCAACCAACACAUCUAUCCUUAACUUCCCUAAGUGUGCCCCUUUGCAAUUCCUCCCUCCUACCCUUCCCUGACAUCACUUCCAGGUAUCCCCUAAUAUUUCUCUCACUGUAGAUGUUUGCAUUUUUAUAUAUAUAUAUAUAAUCAUAACAUGUAUUUUUUGAUCUAGUGUCUUUCACUCAUCACAAUUAUAUUUUUCACUCAUCACAAUUAUAUAUAAUUGUAACAUGUAUUUUUUGAUCUAGUGUCUUUCACUCAUCACAAUUAUAUUUUUUUAUUUUUAAAUUUUAUUUAAAUUCAAUUAGUCAUCACAAUUAUAUAUAAUUGUAACAUGUAUUUUUUGAUCUAGUGUCUUUCACUCAUCACAAUUAUAUUUUUUUAUUUUUAAAUUUUAUUUAAAUUCAAUUAGUCAACAUGUUGUUAUUGGUUUCAGAGGUAGAAGUCAGUGAUUCAUCAGUCUUAUAUAAUACCCAGUGCUCAUUAUAUCACGUGCCCUCCUUAACGUCCAUCACCCAGUUACCCAGUGCCCCCACUCCUCUCCCCUAGCAAUCUCCAGUUUGUUUCCUAUGAUUAAGAGUCUCAUGAUUUGUCUCCUUCUCUGAUUUUGUCUUGUGUUUUAUUUUUCAUUCUUUUCCCAUAUGAUCCUCUGUUUUAUUUCUUAAAUUCCACAUAUGAGGGAGAUCAGAUGAUAAUUGUCUUUCUCUGAUUGGCUUAUUUUGCUUAGCAUAAUACCCUCUAGUUCCAUCCUCAUUACUAUAAAUGGCAAGAUAUCAGUUUUUUGAUGGCUGGCAGUCCAUUGUGUGUACACACACAUGCACACACACACACACAUCUUUAUCCAUUCAUCUGUCAAUCGACACCUGGACUCCUUCCAUAGUUUGGCUACUGUGGACAUUGAUGCUAUAAACAUUGAGAUGCAGGGGUCCCUUUGGAUCGCUACAUCUGUAUCUUUGGGGUAAAUACCCAGUAGUGCAAUUGCUGGGUCAUGGGGUAGCUCUAUUUUCAACUUUUUGAGGAUCCUCCACACUGUGUUCCCGAGUGGCUGCACCAGUUUGCAUUCCCACCAACAGUGUGUUGUUUCCUGACUUGUUCAUUUUAGCUCUUCUGACUGGCGUGACACUCGACACAAUUAUUUUAAGAUUCAUCCAUGUUGUAUCUAAUGAUGGAUCAUUCCUUUUUACUGCUGAUAUUCUAUUGUAUAGAUAGACAAGAAUUUGUUCAUUUGUUUGCCUUUUAGUGGAUGUGUGGGUUAUUUCCAGUUUUGUGUUAAUAUCAAUAAAACUUCUAGGAAUAUUUGUGUAUAAGACGUUGUAUGCUUUUUUUCUCUUAGGUAAAUAGCUAGGGGUGAAAUGG